rnacentral:tRNA from 1 species
AAAAUUUUAAGUUAAGUAAACUAAUAAUUUUCAAAAUUAUAAAUAAUUAAAUUUAAAUUUUA